CUCCUACGGGAGGCAGCAGUGGGGAAUAUUGCACAAUGGGGGAAACCCUGAUGCAGCCAUGCCGCGUGUGUGAAGAAGGCCUUCGGGUUGUAAAGCACUUUCAGUGAGGAGGAAAGGUUGGUAGUUAAUACCUGCUAGCUGUGACGUUACUCGCAGAAGAAGCACCGGCUAACUCCGUGCCAGCAGCCGCGGUAAUACGGAGGGUGCGAGCGUUAAUCGGAAUUACUGGGCGUAAAGCGUGCGCAGGCGGUUUGUUAAGUGAGAUGUGAAAGCCCUGGGCUCAACCUAGGAAUAGCAUUUAGAACUGUCCAACUAGAGUCUUGUAGAGGGGGGUAGAAUUCCAGGUGUAGCGGUGAAAUGCGUAGAGAUCUGGAGGAAUACCGGUGGCGAAGGCGGCCCCCUGGACAAAGACUGACGCUCAGGCACGAAAGCGUGGGGAGCAAACAGGAUUAGAUACCCUGGUAGUCCACGCCGUAAACGAUGUCUACUCGGAGUUUGGUGUCUUGAACAGUGGGCUCUCAAGCUAACGCAUUAAGUAGACCGCCUGGGGAGUACG
rnacentral:rRNA from 1 species